GAGAAGCUGCAUGGUGCUGUUGGUCAGCGCCAUUCAGUGGAUGUGGCGCUCUCUGGCUUGGAAUCGCUUGCGGCUGGCGUAUGAGUGCGAUGUAUGAGGUGGGGCACAGCUCCAGAACCCAAUUCAGACUACUCUCCUCCCAC
ensembl:ribozyme RNaseP_nuc Nuclear RNase P